ACACCUAGAGCCAAUUAAGAAGCUGCUAGAAUCAAUUAGGGCAGGCUGGCUAAUCAGGGCACCUGGGUUUAAAAAGGACUUCUCUUCAGUUUGUGGUGUGUGUGCGUGCGCUAGGAGAAAGAGGCACUAGAUGCUGAGAGUGAGAAGGCUUACUACUGGAGGACUGAGGAGUACAAGCAUUAUCAGACACCAGGAGGAAGAUCCUGUGGGAUCAGCCUUGCAAGAUGCUGAGCCGCCUUAGCUCCUGUUGAAGGCAGAAGGAGCGGAGGGCAACCAGCAUCUUGCAGGAAGAAGCUCAAAAGCUGGAAGGACCUAGCAUGGACUACCCCCACAUUGUGCUCCACAUGUUGGCCUGGCAGGCUGAGGUGCAUGGAGGUCCCUGGAAUUAGACUGAAUGAACUCUGAGUAGCUCACGCAGACCCAGAGUAGGGAUGAAGGAGAAGGUAGGGAAGGGCAGUGACUGUAUGUGAGUAGUUCAUCUGGUUCUACUGGGCCAAUUCUGUGUGAGCCUGUGGGACAAAAGGUGCUGGACUUGCAAACUAUAGAGGGACUUUGCCACUUGAGCUUGCCUUGUAGCAAACUCUUCUGUGAAGAGCUGCUAUAGGAGAGACUUCAUUUGGGCAACAACAGAAGAAGGUCUAGAAUUACCUCAUGCUAAAUGGGCUAAUGCCAGAAUAUGGAACCUAAGAGUCGGAGUAAACAGAACAAAAAAGCAUUUGUUGUUGUAAAGAUAAGCUAAGAAAACCUGUUAUUGCUUCAGCUUCUCCCCACCCCCGAGAAAGUUAAUUAUAAAAGUCUAAUUAUUCAUAAAGGGCUGGUGUUAUGGCAUGCUUGGCAAAAUCAUCUGUCUCUCCUUCGAAAGGCAUGUUCCAGAUUUGUGCCUCAUUGUCACAAGCUUGUUAUGAUUUAAUUAUAAAUUGAUAUUGAUAGACGUUUCCUGUGACACUGUAUUCACUAGAACUGAAUCGUUGCUUUGUAAAACAGGACUGGAGCUUCUGGUUCAUCAUUUUUUCAGCCCCAAAUGAAAAGAAUUUACAAUGUUCAAGUCCAGGCCACUCUCGCUAAUUGAUCUGGCCCUUGAAAAGACUGAGAUGGAGCACUAGUUCCACCUAGUGGUAAGAGGGAAGUAAGACAGCUUGCUGGAGCUGCGGAAAUCAGAGCCACCUGAAAGCCACACAACAAAAGCACAAAGACAUUUUGUGGAAUGGUUACGUUCUGCUCUAAUAGGCAGUAAUAAAAUAUUUUGGGCUUGUAGUCCAUUUGUCAAUUGACUUAAUUUAGUAUUAUUCUAUACAACUUGAGAGCCCAAAAAGGGAAUUCAAAUGUGACUGUGGCUAGCAAAAUAAAGCUGUAAAAACAAAAUGUUGUGCUCCUGAAAAUAAAAAGGUCAAAAUCCAACAAAAGCUGGAAGAAAUUAGUAUAUUUGAAUGUGAGAAGACUAGGCAAUUAUAAAAUGCCUCAAAUCCAAGGUUCUCAAAGCAUUUUACAAAUGCGGGUAUUUUCAUUCUUAAUUUGCUGGUGGGGAAAAGUGGGACAGAGAGGGAGAGGCCCACAAUUGUGAUAAAUAGCAUCUAAUUCUGAGCACCUCCGUUGUUUGGUACUCAGUCUGAGACAUGUGGGCCCUGGUUUUCAGAGAUGGUAAGAACUGUCAACUCGAAAUGGCACAAAACAAAUUUAGAUUGUAAGCUCCUGGGAGCCCGGACUGUGUCUUUGUUCUGCUCCAUGAUUCAGGCCCCUCGGUGUUAUGGUUAUACCUAUAAUAAUGGGUCCAAAGUCUCUCUAGUUGGGCACCCAAAACUGAGGCACCUGCAAUUAAGCAGACACUUGAAAAUAUUAAGCCUAAAUGUCUUUCUGCCUGAGGCAGAGCUGGGAAUAGAACUCGGGUCAAAUCCGGUUCCCAUUUAGUCAAUAGCAAAAAGCCCAUUAAUUUCAAGGGAGACUGGUCCUGGCUUUGCUCUCUCCAAGUCUCCCACUCGAAUAUCCAGGUUAUGCUGCCUCCUUUAAACAACCAGAUGCUGCAGAUGAGGGAUAGGCUGCAUGGAACAGCACAUCUUCCGAAAGGGGAUGGGAAUUGUGGGGGGUGGGGAGGCAGUUAUGCACACAACCCUGGUUUCUGUUAAGGGAAGUUCUGAGUUCAAAAGUCAAAUGCUUGCUACAGGAUCAGAAUGAGAGCAAUUGAGGUGAUUCUUCAGUGAAUGGAAAUGACUGACACUUCUGGGCUGAUUAAACAGCCAGGCAUGACAUGAGGUGUGUUUAAGUUAUUUUAAGAUGCUGUGGGUUGCCUCAGGUAUUAUGAAGCUCUGACACACAUCCAAGUGGAUCUGAUUCCCCAGGGGUGUGAUGAUCUCACAGUAGCCACACCCUCAGGAUUGGCUGCCUGAAUGCAAUUAUAUAAAACGUCUUUUUAUUAACAGGGAAAAGUGAAUAAUUUGUAGCUGAGGAACACACAGAUAAUUGUUCCUCCUCACCUGUGUGACUCAGCCAGAUCAAGCUGUCUGUUUUAGGAUAUCAACUAACAUACCGUGUUGGGAAAGCUAAAUAAUACAUGAAAGAGAGAGAACACACACACAUACACACACAAUUGGUGGUGAUCUGUGAUUUUUCAGAUAUUUUAAGCCUGUUCCUUUUGUGAAAUUAUUAAUGAUUAUUUUUUAAUGAAAUAAUAAAUUAUUCUCUGUCCCUAGACUG